GCCUAGCCGUAACACACAAUUAAACCACCAAUUGUCCGCCAAACAACUACGAGCCAUACUUGAAACUUAAAAGACUUGACGGUACUUCAUCACGGCCUAGAGGAGCCUGUCUAAUAACCGACAAUCCACGAUUAACCCAACCCCUUCUUGCCCAACAGUCUAUAUACCGCCGUCGCCAGCUUACCUUGUAAAAGAAAUAAAGUGAGCUAAAUAGUACAACACUAAAACGACAGGUCGAGGUGUAACUCAUGAAGGGGCCAAGAUGGGCUACAUUCUCCAACCGAGAAUACGCAUAACACUAUGAAACUAGUGUUUGAAGGCGGAUUUAACAGUAAGAUAAGAAUAAAAUACUUAACUGAACACAACGCAAUGAAGUGCGUACACACCGCCCGUCAUCCCUGCCACCACAAUAUAAACCUUAAUAAACUAACCUAAAAAAAUCAAACAGGGCAAGUCGUAACAUGGUAAGUGUACUGGAAAGUGUACUUAGAAA
rnacentral:rRNA from 1 species